UACGGGGGGAGCAAGCGUUGUUCGGAUUUACUGGGCGUAAAGGGCGCGUAGGCGGUCAGCACAAGUCAGUUGUGAAAUCUCCGGGCUUAACUCGGAAAGGUCAACUGAUACUGUGCGACUAGAGUGCGGAAGGGGCAACUGGAAUUCUUGGUGUAGCGGUGAAAUGCGUAGAUAUCGAGAGGAACACCUGCGGCGAAGGCGGCGUCCUGGACUGGUACUGACGCUCAGGAGCGAAAGCGUGGGGAGCGAACAGG
rnacentral:rRNA from 1 species